rnacentral:piRNA from 1 species
UAAUAAGUUAAGUUAGUUGCAAUU